CUGAGAAAGAAUGGUUACCAUGCUAACUCGAACCUCACUCGUGCCCCCUUCUUCACGCCACACAGACCAGAGCCAAAUACAAUGAGUAUUUAGAGAAUCUGCUACGCUGAUCGCUCCCCUCUCCUCGCAGGAGGAUGGAUUUUUAAAUCUGGGAAGUCUUGUGCUACAGGUCUGUGCCCCAUGAAACUGCAAGCAUCCUGUGAGGCGGGCCACGGGAAUUUAGAGAUAUAUAAUAUUGGGACUUUCUAGCUGGCAAAGACCAAGUGAAGAGAUGUGUGAGAUUUUUUUCGAGCUGGCAAAAAGGAGACCCUAUCCAGGAGACUAGGCUUUAAGGAAGCUGUGAGGAAAGACGGCAGCAUCCAUUCCCAGAAUUCCUGACAGACUGGACUGAGAACACCCGUCCCU
rnacentral:lncRNA from 10 species